rnacentral:misc_RNA from 1 species
AACCUAGCACACCUGCGGUGUGUACCUGCGGAGGGAUCAUUACAAAAAGACCCAAGGGGUUUUUGGGUUUCGGCCCAAGAAUACCCAACCCACCUCUUGUGCACUGUUCACGUUCGCUUUGGCAGUUGCUUUGGCUUCUCUGGAAGUCAACUUCUCGCCGGCUCUAUCCUUUUUGGACAGCUGGUGGUGAAGCGGCCUGCCAAGGCUUUUUUUCGAAAUAACGCUUUUAGAAUCUACUGU